rnacentral:rRNA from 1 species
UACAGAGGGUGCAAGCGUUGUUCGGAAUUAUUGGGCGUAAAGCGCGCGCAGGCGGUUUCUUAAGUCUGAUGUGAAAGCCCACGGCUCAACCGUGGAGGGUCAUUGGAAACUGGGAAACUUGAGUGCAGAAGAGAAGAGUGGAAUUCCACGUGUAGCGGUGAAAUGCGUAGAGAUGUGGAGGAACACCAGUGGCGAAGGCGGUUCUCUGGGCCUUACCUGACGCUGAGGAGCGAAAGCGUGGGGAGCGAACAGG